rnacentral:rRNA from 1 species
GGGGUCGAGUUCGGCUGGAUCGGUGACAGGUGCUGCAUGGCUGUCGUCAGCUCGUGUCGUGAGAUGUUGGGUUAAGUCCCGCAACGAGCGCAACCCUUGUCCUUAGUUGCCAGCAUUCAGUUGGGCACUCUAAGGAGACUGCCGGUGUCAAACCGGAGGAAGGUGGGGAUGACGUCAAGUCCUCAUGGCCCUUAUGUCCAGGGCUACACACGUGCUACAAUGGCCGGUGCAAAGGGGCGCAAGACCGCGAGGUGGAGCAAAUCCCAAAAAACCGGUCUCAGUUCGGAUUGGAGUCUGCAACUCGACUCCAUGAAGUUGGAAUCGCUAGUAAUCGCGUAUCAGCAUGACGCGGUGAAUACGUUCCCGGGCCUU